rnacentral:rRNA from 1 species
AACGAACGCUGGCGGCAUGCCUAACACAUGCAAGUCGAACGAAGCCUUCGGGCUUAGUGGCGCACGGGUGCGUAACGCGUGGGAAUCUGCCCCUUGCUUCGGAAUAACAGUUAGAAAUGACUGCUAAUACCGGAUGAAGUCUUCGGACCAAAGAUUUAUCGGCAAGGGAUGAGCCCGCGUAGGAUUAGGUAGUUGGUGGGGUAAAGGCCUACCAAGCCGACGAUCCUUAGCUGGUCUGAGAGGAUGAUCAGCCACACUGGGACUGAGACACGGCUCAGACUCCUACGGGAAGCAGCAGUGGGGAAUAUUGGACAAUGGACGCAAGUCUGAUCCAGCAAUGCCGCGUGAGUGAUGAAGGCCUUAGGGUUGUAAAGCUCUUUUACCAGGGAUGAUAAUGACAGUACCUGGAGAAUAAGCUCCGGCUAACUCCGUG